rnacentral:tRNA from 1 species
GGUGAGAUGGCCGAGCGGUUAAGGCGCCAGGUUAAGGAAACUUAGCAUAAAUUCCUGGUCACGAAAGUGGCGUGGGUUCAAGUCCCACUCUCAUCA